rnacentral:lncRNA from 1 species
ACUACUUUGUAAUCAGUCAAUAAAGUUAUUCAAACUGCUGCUGCUGUCUGUACAGCUGAUGUUGUGCUUUGUUGUCCUCUCAGUCUGUCGGGUGGAGGUGAAGGAGGGGGAGGAGUCCGUUCAGCUGCCCUUCAAAACAACAUCCAACCUGCCUGAGGAUGCUACAGUGAAGUGAAGACGCUAUGAACCCUCAUACAGGAGGGUCCAUGUGUAUCAGAACAGAUCUGACCGGCCUGAGAAACAGGACCAGGUUUAUAAAGACCGAACAGAGAUGAAGAAAGACUUGCUGAAGACUGGAGACCUCAGUCUGACCUUGAAAUGCCCCAAAGAGACAGAUGCAGGAAGAUACUGGUGUGCAGUCUACAACCAGGACAGAGACAUCCUGAGAGCAAAAACAGUGAAGCUCAAAGUCAAACUUCAGUAUGAAGAUACAGAACGGAGGGAGAAUUCAGAUGAAGAAACAGUGGACAUCAGGAACAGAAGCAGCUCCACUGAUCCGACUCCUCUGAUGGCUGAUCAAUCUUUUUGAUCGGUCUGUUGGUCAAUCUUUGAUUAUUGAUCUGAUUUGACUUUGGAUCAGAGACUAAAUGGAGGUGAAGGAGCUGAUGGAGGACAGAUGAAGACAGGAGGACACUUCGUCAGCUUCUUCUUCACUCUGACUCCUCCUACUGACUCUCACACACAGUCUACACACUCACUACUGAUGACUAUUGAUCGGUGAUGUCAGAGUGAUGUCACAUGUUGGUUUGGCCUGAACCACGUGGUUUAGAUCCUUUGAACUCUGACAGUAAAGUGUAAAUACAACCUCAGAUGUACAGACUGCAGGUCUCCACUCUGUGAGGCAGCAUAACUGUAAUUACAGCACCCCCAUGUGGCACACCUUACUUCUACAUGUGUGAUGACUGAGUGGACAGUUUGAUGUGUGUCACAUUAAUAAUUGGAACAACAGGAGUCUGGUUUGUCUUUCUUAGAUAAAAUUCCCUCCUACUGAGGAGUCAGAGGAGUCUACUGAAUAACAAUAAAACAGGCCUGACUUUAGAGUGUUUCACUGUCUGCUGACAGCUUUCCUGUCCUGGACCAUGAUGAACCAUUGUGACAACCCGCUUCAGUAAUUAUACAAAAGAGAUUGAACAUAAACAACAAAGCCAGGAUGCAGUUGGAAGAAGAUGAAUUUAUCAAUCAAACAACCUAACAAAGAAAAACUACAAGUGAUCAACUGAUGGACCAGCCAAAAUAAACAAAAGAAGGGCAGCCUCCCAGAUCAACCAACCUGGGUGGUCGGAGGUGAGGGCUGACUCUGUACCCUAACUUUUUCUGCACAAAUCACACCUAUGGUCAUAUACUCACAAAUAUUAAUAUGUAUAACAUGUUGUCUAACCACUGUGUGUAUGUUUAUUUUUGGUUUCCUGGCAGACUUUUAAAUGGUUGUUUAAGGUAUA